UACAGAGGUCCCAAGCGUUGUCCGGAGUUACUGGGCGUAAAGGGUGCGCAGGUGGCGGCGCGCGUGGGGGGUGAAAUCGCCCGGCUUAACUGGGCGGGGGCCUUCCAGACGGCGUGGCUUGAGCAGCGGAGGGGGACGUGGAAUUCCGGGUGGAGCGGUGAAAUGCGUAGAGAUCCGGAGGAACACCGACGGCGCAGGCAGCGUCCUGGCCGCUUGCUGACACUGAGGCACGAAAGCUAGGGGAGCAAACAGG
rnacentral:rRNA from 1 species